rnacentral:rRNA from 1 species
UUAAGCGACUAAGCGUACACGGUGGAUGCCCUGGCAGUCAGAGGCGAUGAAGGACGUGCUAAUCUGCGAUAAGCGUCGGUAAGGUGAUAUGAACCGUUAUAACCGGCGAUUUCCGAAUGGGGAAACCCAGUGUGUUUCGACACACUAUCAUUAACUGAAUCCAUAGGUUAAUGAGGCGAACCGGGGGAACUGAAACAUCUAAGUACCCCGAGGAAAAGAAAUCAACCGAGAUUCCCCCAGUAGCGGCGAGCGAACGGGGAGCAGCCCAGAGUCUGAAUCAGCUUGUGUGUUAGUGGAACGGUCUGGAAAGUCCGACGGUACAGGGUGAUAGUCCCGUACACCAAAAUGCACAGGCUGUGAACUCGAAGAGUAGGGCGGGACACGUGGUAUCCUGUCUGAAUAUGGGGGGACCAUCCUCCAAGGCUAAAUACUCCUGACUGACCGAUAGUGAACCAGUACCGUGAGGGAAAGGCGAAAAGAACCCCGGCGAGGGGAGUGAAAAAGAACCUGAAACCGUGUACGUACAAGCAGUGGGAGCACGCUUAGGCGUGUGACUGCGUACCUUUUGUAUAAUGGGUCAGCGACUUAUAUUCUGUAGCAAGGUUAACCGUAUAGGGGAGCCGCAGGGAAACCGAGUCUUAACUGGGCGUUAAGUUGCAGGGUAUAGACCCGAAACCCGGUGAUCUAGCCAUGGGCAGGUUGAAGGUUGGGUAACACUAACUGGAGGACCGAACCGACUAAUGUUGAAAAAUUAGCGGAUGACUUGUGGCUGGGGGUGAAAGGCCAAUCAAACCGGGAGAUAGCUGGUUCUCCCCGAAAGCUAUUUAGGUAGCGCCUCGUGAAUUCAUCUCCGGGGGUAGAGCACUGUUUCGGCAAGGGGGUCAUCCCGACUUACCAACCCGAUGCAAACUGCGAAUACCGGAGAAUGUUAUCACGGGAGACACACGGCGGGUGCUAACGUCCGUCGUGAAGAGGGAAACAACCCAGACCGCCAGCUAAGGUCCCAAAGUCAUGGUUAAGUGGGAAACGAUGUGGGAAGGCCCAGACAGCCAGGAUGUUGGCUUAGAAGCAGCCAUCAUUUAAAGAAAGCGUAAUAGCUCACUGGUCGAGUCGGCCUGCGCGGAAGAUGUAACGGGGCUAAACCAUGCACCGAAGCUGCGGCAGCGACGCUGAUGCGUUGUUGGGUAGGGGAGCGUUCUGUAAGCCUGCGAAGGUGUGCUGUGAGGCAUGCUGGAGGUAUCAGAAGUGCGAAUGCUGACAUAAGUAACGAUAAAGCGGGUGAAAAGCCCGCUCGCCGGAAGACCAAGGGUUCCUGUCCAACGUUAAUCGGGGCAGGGUGAGUCGACCCCUAAGGCGAGGCCGAAAGGCGUAGUCGAUGGGAAACAGGUUAAUAUUCCUGUACUUGGUGUUACUGCGAAGGGGGGACGGAGAAGGCUAUGUUGGCCGGGCGACGGUUGUCCCGGUUUAAGCGUGUAGGCUGGUUUUCCAGGCAAAUCCGGAAAAUCAAGGCUGAGGCGUGAUGACGAGGCACUACGGUGCUGAAGCAACAAAUGCCCUGCUUCCAGGAAAAGCCUCUAAGCAUCAGGUAACAUCAAAUCGUACCCCAAACCGACACAGGUGGUCAGGUAGAGAAUACCAAGGCGCUUGAGAGAACUCGGGUGAAGGAACUAGGCAAAAUGGUGCCGUAACUUCGGGAGAAGGCACGCUGAUAUGUAGGUGAAGUCCCUCGCGGAUGGAGCUGAAAUCAGUCGAAGAUACCAGCUGGCUGCAACUGUUUAUUAAAAACACAGCACUGUGCAAACACGAAAGUGGACGUAUACGGUGUGACGCCUGCCCGGUGCCGGAAGGUUAAUUGAUGGGGUCAGCGCAAGCGAAGCUCUUGAUCGAAGCCCCGGUAAACGGCGGCCGUAACUAUAACGGUCCUAAGGUAGCGAAAUUCCUUGUCGGGUAAGUUCCGACCUGCACGAAUGGCGUAAUGAUGGCCAGGCUGUCUCCACCCGAGACUCAGUGAAAUUGAACUCGCUGUGAAGAUGCAGUGUACCCGCGGCAAGACGGAAAGACCCCGUGAACCUUUACUAUAGCUUGACACUGAACAUUGAGCCUUGAUGUGUAGGAUAGGUGGGAGGCUUUGAAGUGUGGACGCCAGUCUGCAUGGAGCCGACCUUGAAAUACCACCCUUUAAUGUUUGAUGUUCUAACGUUGACCCGUAAUCCGGGUUGCGGACAGUGUCUGGUGGGUAGUUUGACUGGGGCGGUCUCCUCCUAAAGAGUAACGGAGGAGCACGAAGGUUGGCUAAUCCUGGUCGGACAUCAGGAGGUUAGUGCAAUGGCAUAAGCCAGCUUGACUGCGAGCGUGACGGCGCGAGCAGGUGCGAAAGCAGGUCAUAGUGAUCCGGUGGUUCUGAAUGGAAGGGCCAUCGCUCAACGGAUAAAAGGUACUCCGGGGAUAACAGGCUGAUACCGCCCAAGAGUUCAUAUCGACGGCGGUGUUUGGCACCUCGAUGUCGGCUCAUCACAUCCUGGGGCUGAAGUAGGUCCCAAGGGUAUGGCUGUUCGCCAUUUAAAGUGGUACGCGAGCUGGGUUUAGAACGUCGUGAGACAGUUCGGUCCCUAUCUGCCGUGGGCGCUGGAGAACUGAGGGGGGCUGCUCCUAGUACGAGAGGACCGGAGUGGACGCAUCACUGGUGUUCGGGUUGUCAUGCCAAUGGCACUGCCCGGUAGCUAAAUGCGGAAGAGAUAAGUGCUGAAAGCAUCUAAGCACGAAACUUGCCCCGAGAUGAGUUCUCCCUGACUCCUUGAGAGUCCUGAAGGAACGUUGAAGACGACGACGUUGAUAGGCCGGGUGUGUAAGCGCAGCGAUGCGUUGAGCUAACCGGUACUAAUGAACCGUGAGGCUUAACCUU